AUUUCAGCAUGAAAUCAUUUUAUGUCUUGUUUAAAUCUUUUGUUAUUUCACAUGACAUAAUAUAAUUACUCCCAAAUACAGGAUAUAUGUAUUAUUAUACAUGACAUAAUAUACCAGAUUGAUCUAUCUCGUACUUUCAAAUAUAUUCUGUAUGGUUAACACCGUAAACUCCUUUAUCUUUUUCGAUGUUUAUGGAACCUGGCAUUAACCAUCUCUUUUUUAAAAAGAAGCUCUCAAUAUAAUUCUUUGUUUUUUAAGAAAAAGAUAUCAUGCUAUCUGCUUUAUUCAUUAAAAAUAUAAAUUAAAUAACAAAAGUGAGGUAAAGAGACCUCGAAAAAAAAAGAAAAAGAAAAAAAGAAAACUUUUCUUUCUUGCUCUCAAUAUAAUUCUUGCUAUCAAUUAACUAUUGGUUGGCCACAAAACUUUUCGUUCUUGUAUUUGGAUAUGUCAAAAAUGAAGCAGUUGGAGCUUGGUUUUCUUGUUCCAAUAAAGAAAGUUAUUUCCUUUAAUUCCGGUACUUACUUCCACAUAUUAUACAAUGAGAAAUGCUAGUAGCUGUAUAUUUUACACCUUUAUAUACCGAACAAAGACUUAGAUAAUUUUCCUUUGAAAUUUACUAUUAAAAAAGAGUGUUGAAACUACUAGGAAUAAAAAGAUGUCUGAAAAUUUUAUUUCUAUUCAUCAUAUUACUAAGAAUGUGGUAUUUCUGUAUUUGGUUCUCACGGUCAUAUUAUUUAGUCAUAUUAUUUAAAUUUUCAAAAAAUAUAUAAUUAAUUUAGUUAUUUCUUUAAUUAAUUUUAGAUAAUGCUACAAAAAAAUUCCAAUAUCUUUUUAGAAAAAAAGGGAGACAGAAUAUAGGUUAGAGAGAGAGAGCAUAAUUAAAGAAAUAAGAAGAGAAAUGGAAUCGAGAUUAGAAGGAGUGAGAGAGUUGAGAUUUUAGAAAAAGAGGGAGAGAGAGAGUUAGUUUAGAAAGAAAAAAAGAGUUGAAGUUUAGAGAGAAAUAUGAGGUUAGAGUGAAAAGAAAAAUAAUACCAACUAACUAGUCUGCUGGUAGGGAGAAAGAAAAAAGUUAGAUAUAUUAUGAUUAUCCCAAUCUAUUAAUAUAAGUAUACCCACUCUCCUUCAAGAGAAUAAGAUUUGUACUUUAGGAUGAAUCUCAUUCCUAAGUAAAUCUAAUAUUACCAGUUAAAUUACUUAGUGCGUUUAGUCAAACACCGUCAUAUUUUUUUAUUUUUAUUGGAUUAUUAGUAAUCUUAAAAAAAUAGCACGAACCAGGACAAGAAAUU
rnacentral:lncRNA from 1 species